UCUCUGUUAGUAUAUCGGUUAGUACACGCGCCUGUCAUUAUGGUUGAAUGUACUCGUUAUGACCGCGCGAAAGCUGGGUUCGACUCCCAGACAGAGAG